rnacentral:lncRNA from 1 species
ACAGCGGUGGGAGCCUGCGGGCCGCAGCCCCGGCGAGAGUGUGCCGCACGCCCGCCUCCGAGGCCAGGCCCUAGCUCCGAGAACCCCUCCUGCGGCCGGGGCGGCUUUGUUCCCGGUUCCGACGGGUUCCUGUUGCAUGUAAAUCAUGUCCUUGUGGUUACAUAUUUAUUAGCAGAAAACUUUUAAAUGCAAAACACUCAGAGAAAUCACCACCUUCUACAGAAAACAAGCAUGAGGCCAAGAGGAGGCGAACAGAGAGAGUUAGGAGAGAGAAGAUAAAUUCUACAGUAAAUAAAGAUUUAGAAAACAGAAAGAGGUCUCGAAGUAACAGCCAUUCAGAUCAUAUCAGACGAGGAAGAGGAAGACCUAAAAGUGCAUCUGCCAAAAAACAUGAGGAAGAAAGAGAGAAACAGGAAAAGGAAAUUGACAUCUAUGCUAACCUGUCUGAUGAAAAGGCUUUCGUGUUUUCAGUC